GGUGUUGUGGCUCAGCGGUAGAGUGCUUGCCUAGCAUGUAUGAGGCGCUGGGUUGGAUCCUCAGCAUCACAU
rnacentral:tRNA from 1 species